AAAAAGGCUGAAAACUGCUGAUUUAUGUGUGCCAUGAAAAUUAUGUAUUUCUGCACUUCACAGUUACCAUUAGAUAUCUACAAAAUGAACUCAAAUGAACAUUUACUUUUAAGAAAUUCUGUGCCAAGAAUACUACUGAAGUAAA